CUAAAGGUGUCACGGGUCGAUCGCAAGUUUUUAAUUUUUGGAUAAGAAAUUAUAGGAUUGGGAUGAUAUUAGUCGCUUAGAGUUGAGUGAUCCUCAGGAUUGAGUGGUUCCUACUGGGUUAUAAUAUUUAAUCCAAUGAUUAGAAAUGAUCAAAAAAAUUGAUCUAAAUGAUAAAAACUUGAUAGCAAAAGAAGGAUAAUACUAUUAAUAGUAUUCUAGCCCAACUAUAUAGGCUAGGGUUAUUAUACUUUUAUGAGUAUUAACCGUUUGUACUUAUAAACUUUUCGUCGUUGGAUGAGGUUGAAUAUUAUGAUCUAACGGAUAGAAAUGGUUAAAGGGGUAUGUGACACCCCAAUAGUCCCACAUCGGAUGGGAAAGGGGUUGUCAUUAGGUUUAUAAGAGACUUAGACACUAGUAAUAAUAACUGGGCUUAAGCAUUUUGGGCCAGUGGUUGGGCCCAACGAGUUAUUGUUGCUAGUGGGUUGGGUCGUUACAUUUGGUAUCAGAGACGGUUCACAAGCUGGACAUGUGUGGCUCGUCUCGGCUGAGCCAGGGUCUGGAUGACGAGCUAGCGAGACUUAUUGUUGCUAGUGGACUGGGUCGUUAAAGGGUAGAUCUAACAGUCGAAAACUUAUGAGUACAAAAAAAUCUAUACUCGUAAGAGUAUAGUAGCCAAACUAUAUAUA
rnacentral:lncRNA from 1 species